UACAGAGGUCUCAAGCGUUGUUCGGAUUCAUUGGGCGUAAAGGGUGCGUAGGUGGCGGGGUUAGUCAGGUGUGAAAUCUCGGGGCUCAACCACGAAACUGCACUUGAUACUGCCUUGCUAGAGUACUGGAGAGGAGAUUGGAAUUUACGGUGUAGCAGUGAAAUGCGUAGAUAUCGUAAGGAAGACCAGUGGCGAAGGCGAAUCUCUGGACAGUUACUGACACUGAGGCACGAAGGCCAGGGGAGCAAACGGG
rnacentral:rRNA from 1 species